AAAGAAAGAAAGAAAGAAAGAAGGAAAGAAGGGAAGAAAGACCUCCUUCUUUCCUUUCCUUUUCUUUCUUUU
rnacentral:ribozyme from 14 species